rnacentral:rRNA from 1 species
CCGGCCAGAGACCGAUAGCGCACAAGUAGAGUGAUCGAAAGAUGAAAAGCACUUUGGAAAGAGAGUUAAAAAGUACGUGAAAUUGUUGAAAGGGAAGCGCUUGCAACCAGACCUGCUUUCGGGUGAUCAACCGUCGUUCUCGGCGGUGCACUCGCCCGUUGCAGGCCAGCAUCGGUUCGGGCGGCCGGACAAAGGCCCCGGGAAUGUAGCUUCCCUCGGGAAGUCUUAUAGCCCGGGGUGCAAUGCGGCCAGCCCGGACCGAGGACCGCGCUUCGGCUAGGAUGCUGGCGUAAUGGUUGUAAGCGGCCCGUCUUGAAACACGGACCAAGGAGUCUAACAUCUAUGCGAGUGUUUGGGUGUCAAACCCAUGCGCGGAAUGAAAGUGAACGGAGGUGAGAACCCGCAAGGGCGCAUCAUCGACCGAUCCAGAUGUCUUCGGAUGGAUUUGAGUAAGAGCAUAGCUGUUGGGACCCGAAAGAUGGUGAACUAUGCCUGAAUAGGGUGAAGCCAGAGGAAACUCUGGUGGAGGCUCGCAGCGGUUCUGACGUGCAAAUCGAUCGUCAAAUUUGGGUAUAGGGGUGAGUUCUCUUCUUUCUAUCAUCAACAGGAGCAUGCUAACAUUGUGUCA